CCUGGAGGCUGCCAGCAGAAUAGCCAUUCCUCUCUGUUAUGUUAGGCUUUUUAAGAAUAUAAAUGGGUCCAGGUCACAGAAUUUUAUGGCUGGGUUGAAUAUUUUCCUUCUCCCUCACUUUGACAUCUUGACAGGAAUGAAAGUUUAAAGAAGAUACAGAAAAAUGGAUAGUGAAAGCCUGCAUCCUAUCACUGAGGCCUCCCUGUUCUCUGUGAUACAACAACACUGCAAUUAAGUCAAUUAAUAACCCUACAGGGAUUGGUGGUAAAGAAUCUGCCUGCCAAUGCAAGAGACACGCAUUAGAUCCCUGGUCCCAGAAGAUCCCACAUGCCCCAGAGCAACUAAGCCUGUGCACCACAGCUAUUGAACCUGUGCUCUGGAGCUGAGAGCCACACUACUGAAGCCCGAGUGCCUGAAAGCCAGUAUGCUGCAACAAGAGAAGUCACGCGAAUGAGAAGCCUGCACAUGGCAACUAGAGAGCAGACUCUGAUCAGUGCAACUAGAGAAAAGCCCAGGUAGCCACAAAGAUCCAGCACAGCCAAAAUAAAUAAAUAAACAAACCUAUAAAUAACCCUACAGUGCCCUCUAAGUGUUCAAGUGAAGGGAAUCAUUGCACAUCUCUCACUUUAAAUCACAAGCUAGAAAUGAUUAAGUUUAGUGAGGAAGGCAUAUUGAAAGCCAAGACAGGCCAAAAGCUGUGCUUCUUGUACCAGUCAAGCUGUAAAUACAAAGGAAAAGUUCUUGAAGGAAAUUAAAAGUGCUACUCCAGUGAACACACGAAUGUUGCUAAGCUAAGUUGCUUCAGUCGUGCCCGACUCUGUGUGACCCCAUAGACACAGCCCACCAGGCUCCCCCAUCUCUGGGAUUCUCCAGGCAAGAACACAGGAGUGGGUUGCCAUUUCCUUCUCCAAUGCAUGAAAGUGAAAUGUGGAAGUGAAGUCGCUCAGUCAUGUCUGACUCUUAGCGACCCCAUGGACUGCAGCCUACCAGGCUCCUCCGUCCAUGGGAUUUUCCAGGCAAGAGUACUGGAGUGGGUUGCCAUUGCCUUCUCUGACACAUGAAUGUUAAGAACGUGAAAUAGCCUUAUUACUGACAUGGAGAAAAGUCUGAGCGGUCUGGAUAGAGGGUCAAGUCAGCUACAACAUUCUCCCAAGCCAAAGCCUAAUCCAGAGCAAGAGCCUAACUCUCUUCAUUCUUGUGAAGUGUGAAUGAGGUAAGGAGGCUGCAGAAGAAGUUUGAAAAUAGCAGAAGUUGAUUCAUGAAUUUUAAGGAAAGAAGUCAUCUCUGUGACAUCAAAGUGCAAGGUGAAGCAGCAAGCGCUGAUGUAGAAGCUGUAGCGAGUUAACCAAAAGAUCUAACUAGGAUAACUCACGAAAGUGGCCACACUACACAACAGAUUUUCAACGUAGGUGAAAAAAAAAAAGGCUUAAACUGGAAGAAGAGGUCGGGUAGGACUUUCAUGGCUACAGAGGAAAAGUCAGUGCCUGCCUUCAAAGCUUCAAAGGACAGGCUGACUCUCCUGUUAGGGGCUAAUGCAACUGGUGACUUUAAGAUGAAACAAAUGCUGAUGUACCAUUAUGAAAAUCCAUAAUCCUUAAGAACUAUGUUCAAUCACUCUGCCUGUACUCUAUAUAAAUGGAACAACAAAGCCUGGAUGAGAGCACAUCUGUACACAACAUGGGUUUACUUGAAUAUUUUAAGCCCACUGUUGAGAACUAAUGUUCAGAAAAAAAGAUUGCUUUCCAAAUAUUCCUGCAUAUUGGCAAUGCACCUGGUCACUGUAAGGCCGGACCCCGGCGGCCAUGAUGGGACGCCCCUCCUCUCCCUCCCGCUGGUGGGGGAGGUCCUUAACGGAAGGAGCCUCCCAGAUCCUGGGGACCAAUGACGGCACACUUCGCCAGUUAAAGCCGCCCCACCCUAGCUACAUAGAAGGACCUGUCAGCCCACGAUGCCUCUGCCUGGCGACCUAUCCGAACCCUCGUCCAUCUAGCCUGACCAUCCCUCACAAUGAACGUAUAAAAACCACCCCCAACACGGUCCGGGCGCGGACUUCCUCGGCCUGCCUCGUUCAGGUCCGGGAACCCCGCUCGGGAGCGCUUCCCCAUUAAAGCCUGUUAGACACUCUUUUAGGUGUCCUGGUAUUUUACCUAACAUUUGGCACCCAACAUGGGGCUCGAGGCGAGGGCCCAUCCCACGACGAGCGGGAUUCGUGGCCCCCUCGGGCCUGGCCCGCACCGGACCAGGUCACCCCGUCACCCCUCCAGGACCAUUCAACUGUCUGGCAGGAUCCGG
ensembl:lncRNA